rnacentral:ncRNA from 2 species
AUAGUCACGGCUGUCGUCGGUUCCGUUAGGGACCAAGAGGGAAUGCGGUGAGGGUGAAUUCCUGCCCAAUGCCGUGGCUGCCCCCGCAACUGUGUGCGGUAGUCCUCUCCAUAUGCCACUGAAGAUUUUUCUUCGGGAAGGUGGGGAAGGGCGCUGAUCCGCGAGCCAGGAGACCUGCCGGCGACAGGGAAAUGAC